GUGGGGAAUUUUGGACAAUGGGGGAAACCCUGAUCCAGCGACGCCGCGUGAAGGAUGAAGGCCUUCGGGUUGUAAACUUCUUUUGGAGGGGACGAAUAAAUUGACGGUACCCUCAGAAAAAGCCACGGCUAACUACGUGCCAGCAGCCGCGGUAAUACGUAGGUGGCGAGUGUUACUCGGAAUUACUAGGCGUAAAGCGUAUGUAGGCGGUUGUAUAAGUCUAUGGUGAAAUUUCCUGGCUCAACUGGGAAGGGACAUAGAUACUGUAUGGCUUGAGUGUUGGAGGGGGAGACGGAAUUCCUGGUGUAGCGGUGAAAUGCGUAGAUAUCAGGAGGAACACCGAUGGCGAAAGCAGUCUCCUGGCCAAAUACUGACGCUGAGGUACGAAAGCUAGGGUAGCAAACAGGAUUAGAAACCCCUGUAGUCC
rnacentral:rRNA from 1 species